CCUACGGGCGGCAGCAGUAGGGAAUCUUUCACAAUGGGCGAAAGCCUGAAGGAGCAACGCCGCGUGCAGGAUGAAGGCCUUCGGGUUGUAAACUGCUUUUAUAAGCGAGAAAUAUGAUGGUAACUAAUGAAUAAGGAUCGGCUAACUCCGUGCCAGCAGCCGCGGUAAUACGUAGGAUCCGAGCAUUAUCCGGAGUGACUGGGUGUAAAGAGUUGCGUAGGGCGAAUAAUAAGUAGCUAGUGAAAUCUUGUGGCUCAACACAUAAGACUAUUAGCUAAACUGUUAAGCUCGAGACCGUGAGAGGUAACUGGAAUUCCUAGUGUAGGAGUGAAAUCCGUAGAUAUUAGAAGGAACACUAAUAGCGUAGGCAGGUUACUGGGACGGUUCUGACACUAAGGCACGAAAGCGUAGGGAGCAAACGGGAUUAGAUACCCCUGUAGUC
rnacentral:rRNA from 1 species